rnacentral:siRNA from 1 species
CCAACCUUCCCUCUGGCCGC